CGCAGCCGCGGUAAUUCCAGCUCCAAUAGCGUAUAUUAAAGUUGUUGCAGUUAAAAGCUCGUAGUUGAAUUUUGGAUUCUUCCAAUUGGUCCAUCUUUUAGAUGAGUACUGGUUGUGUGGGGUCUAUCCGCCUGGUGAUACGUAAUGUCCUUUAUUGGAUGUUUCGGGUAGUCAGGACCUUUACCUUGAAAAAUUAGAGUGUUUAAAGCAGGCUUAUGCCGGAAUACAUUAGCAUGGAAUAAUAGAAUAGGACGAAGUUGUUUUAUUUUGUUGGUUUCUAGGACAACCGUAAUGAUUAAUAGGGAUAGUUGGGGGCAUUAGUAUUCAAUUGUCAGAGGUGAAAUUCUUGGAUUUAUUGAAGACUAACUACUGCGAAAGCAUUUGCCAAGGAUGUUUUCAUUAAUCAAGAACGAAAGUUAGGGGAUCGAAGACGAUCAGAUACCGUCGUAGUCUUAACCAUAAACUAUGCCGACUAGGGAUCGGGCGAUGUUGUUUCCAUGACUCGCUCGGCACCUUAUGG
rnacentral:rRNA from 1 species